rnacentral:siRNA from 1 species
GGGUGCUAUGCUUAAGGUC